AACGAACGCUGGCGGCAGGCCUAACACAUGCAAGUCGAGCGGCAGCGGGCUGUAGCAAUACAGUGCCGGCGAGCGGCGGACGGGUGAGGAAUACAUCGGAAUCUACCUUGUCGUGGGGGGAUAACGUAGGGAAACUUACGCUAAUACCGCAUACGAACUACGGUUGAAAGCGGAGGACCGCAAGGCUUCGCGCGAUUGGAUGAGCCGAAUGUCGGAUUAGCUAGUUGGCGGGGUAAUGGCCCACCAAGGCGACGAUCCGUAGCUGGUCUGAGAGGGUGAUCAGCCACACUGGAACUGAGACACGGUCCAGACUCCUACGGGAGCAGCAGUGGGGAAUAUUGCGCAAUGGGCGAAAGCCUGACGCAGCCACGCCGCGUGAGUGAUGAAGGCCUU
rnacentral:rRNA from 1 species